UGCUGGUGAUAAGAAUUAGAUUAUUGAAGCAGAAAUUGCAAGGAAGAUGGAAAUGCAAAACCUCUAGAGGUUGGUUUCCGAGUGAAUUAAAUCUUAAUAAAUCAAAUCUACUCAUCUCAAGGGGAGUUAUCUCAUGAUUUGUCUACCUAAUCUGACAAGUCAAAAGAGACGGAAGAAUUCAAAAGAUCUCUUUACGCUAUGUUUGGGAAAAGAGAGAGUAAAAAGGAAAAGACACUUGGCAGCAGGCAAUUUGAUCAGGUGGCCAUCACUCUAUUGCAAAGCCAACCUCAGGAAAUAAGGAAACGUGGCACAGCCUGGGA